GACGAACGCUGGCGGCGUGCCUAAUACAUGCAAGUCGAACGCAGUGGGGACGGGUGCGUAACACGUGGGUAACCUCCCAUCAGAGGGGAUAACACUUGGAAACAGGUGCUAAACCGAUACUGAUGGAUGGACUCGCGGUGCAUUAGCUAGUUGGUGGGGUAACGGCUCACCAAGGCCACGAUGCAUAGCGGGCCUGAGAGGGUGAUCGGCCACACUGGGACUGAGACACGGCCCAGACUCCUACGGGAGGCAGCAGUAGGGAAUCUUGGGCAAUGGGCGAAAGCCUGAUGCAGCAAUGCCGCGUGAAUGAAGAAGGUUUUCGGGUCGUAAAGUUCUGUUGGUAGAGAAGCGUUAUCUAACCAGAAAGCCACGGCUAACUACGUGCCAGCAGCCGCGGUAAUUC
rnacentral:rRNA from 1 species